CCUGGCCCCGUGGCUCACGUGCUGGGCAGGUGAGAUCCCUCCCAAAGCUAAGGUUUUCAUGCUUUACAUGACUAAAACUCAUAUUUGAAAAUAAUAUCGAAUCAUCCAAAAAAGCCGUUGGGCAUCUGGCAAGCAAAACACUAUGCUUUUAACAAGAAAGACCUCACAAAACAGCUUCGGGGAGGCUCUGCUCAGGCUGAAGACCAUCAGGCUCGUAGGGGGCUGAGCCUACUUUGUUAAGAAAUGCUCAGAGGCUGAUGAGAAAGGAGAGCGUCAUUGGGAGAACUUCUUUUCUUUUCGAUUGCUAUUUGUCUUCAUGACACCAAGGAGAAGCACAAGGAGAUGCAGCAGCCACAUUUAGUUUGUAAUGGCCUUUCCCCUCUGCUGACCUUUGACCUGGCUGUUUCAAUUACACAGACAUGGAAACGAAACUCAAAACUCAAAAAAACUCGACCAGGUGAUGGUUUAGGAGCUUUUCCCAUUGUGGUGCCGUGGGGGGAGAGAAGUUGAGAAGAAAAUCUCUCCAGUGAGACAGAUCACCUGGGGGCUUCAGCUGACAAAGGGUUAACAGAACGUCAGGUCCAGUUUCCUGCUCGGCGGUUUAAUUGCUGCAGCCAGGGAAACAUUCAAGGGAGAGACGGCUGUUCUGUUCGUGGGGACCUCAUUUUUCAAAGACCUGUCAGGAAGCUAGUCCACGGAAUGGGCUGAAUACAGAAACCGUGAACUGGGUCUCUUUUCCGAAUUCAGAUGACUCAGAUUCUGUUCACUUGUCUCUCUGCAG